UGGGGAAUAUUGCACAAUGGGCGCAAGCCUGAUGCAGCCAUGCCGCGUGUAUGAAGAAGGCCUUCGGGUUGUAAAGUACUUUCAGCGGGGAGGAAGGGAGUAAAGUUAAUACCUUUGCUCAUUGACGUUACCCGCAGAAGAAGCACCGGCUAACUCCGUGCCAGCAGCCGCGGUAAUACGGAGGGUGCAAGCGUUAAUCGGAAUUACUGGGCGUAAAGCGCACGCAGGCGGUUUGUUAAGUCAGAUGUGAAAUCCCCGGGCUCAACCUGUGAACUGCAUUCGAAACUGGCAGGCUAGAGUCUUGUAGAGGGGGGUAGAAUUCCAGGUGUAGCGGUGAAAUGCGUAGAGAUCUGUAGGAAUACCGGUGGCGAAGGCGGCCCCCUGGACAAAGACUGACGCUCAGGUGCGAAAGCGUGGGGAGCAAACAGG
rnacentral:rRNA from 1 species